UACGAAGGGGGCUAGCGUUGCUCGGAAUUACUGGGCGUAAAGCGCACGUAGGCGGAUUGUUAAGUCGGGGGUGAAAUCCUGGAGCUCAACUCCAGAACUGCCUUCGAUACUGGCGAUCUCGAGUUCGGGAGAGGUGAGUGGAACUGCGAGUGUAGAGGUGAAAUUCGUAGAUAUUCGCAAGAACACCAGUGGCGAAGGCGGCUCACUGGCCCGAUACUGACACUGAGGUGCGAAAGCGUGGGGAGCAAACAGG
rnacentral:rRNA from 1 species